CGCGCCCUCCUCUCUGGGGGCUCGUCGCCCCUCUCUAGCAGUUUUUGCUUCUGCAGGCAAAUUCCAGCCUAGAAAAGGCUCCCUGAGUCUGGAUCCUUAGGCUGCUGUGGCUCCCUCGCCCGGAUGGCCGAGCCCCUUCCGGGACCACCGCCACCCCCUCUGGGCAGUCCGGUCCCGCCCCUCCCCGCCCCCUCCCCGCCCCCUUCGCGCUUCUGGCUGCGCCGCUAUGCGGGCACUUACGGCCGCUGCCGAAUCCGUCCUGGACUGUGGGGAGCCUGGGCUCAGAGGCCGGCUCUGCGCCCGCAUGGGCGGCUGGGUCCCCCCUGUCGCUUCCAGGCCGGGACAAGGCCAAGGUGUCCUGCAGGGCCGCGGGCCGCGGUGACUCCUAGGUGUUCACGCGGAUUCGGAUACUGACCCGGGGUCUGGAGAGCCCCCAGGUGCCUGGGCUCCCAGGGGGCCAGGGCAGCCCUGUUGCUGGUGCCAUCCAGAUGGGACGUGGCUGCCCAGGAAUGUCAUCAGGCCUUUCCCAUCCUGACGGGGAGCCUCUGCGUGCGGAAGGAAGACCUGGGGGUUCCCAGCAUCACCCAUGGACGGGACACUCUCUCCCAGGGCUGAGAAGCCGCGGGUUUCUGAAGUUGGACCCCUGGGCUCAGGGCGGCUGUGGGCAUGGGAGGCCGGAUGGAUGACAGCGUCCAUUCGCCCAUGGCUUUUGCUUCUCCUUCUCCCUCUGUGGCUGUUGCGACCUCUGACCUUCGCUACUUAACGGCUUCCUGGAGUGCAAGGAUCGCCCUCGUGUCCAGAGGGGCUAUUGCUGGAACUGACCUUCCAGAAGCAGCCACUGGGCAGUGACCUUUAACCGGGUUUUAAGGGGGGCGUCUGUUGCCCGUUUGAGGGCCUUCCAUCCAGUUGCUUUAGUCGGUGCCCUUCUCUGGCGGGCAUGGGGCGGACCGGAUCGGCAUUUGUCCCGGUGAACAGUGUCAUUCCUGCAGGAGGCUGCUCAGGCCAUGUCUCUGUGAACCGGCCAGAAGCAAGUUCAUUCCACAGAGGUAAGCGCUGCUCUCGGACCUCUUCACGGGUGACGCCACGGCACUGCACGGGGAGACGAAUCCCAGGGUGUCUGGGGAGCGCACCCGCACGUACACACAGCUCCCAUCGCGAAGUCCCCUGCAUUCUGAACAGCCGGCUCCCCCGGGACCUGCGGGGCCGCCGUGCUGCUAACGGGGACAGCUUUUCUCAGGCAUUGCCGCCCUCCCUCACCCUGGGGAUCAGCCCCACCCGGGACCCCCUGGGCUCUCCUGGCGGGGGGCUCCCCAGAGGUCUCCAUGGUGGCACACACAGCCCUGCAUCCCGCAGGCUCGCCACGCCCACCCAAAGAGCAUCCUUCUCCCGGUAGUUCCAACGAAGGCCACGCACACUAAUCGCCCUCCCAAACAUCACCAGGACCCCUGCCUGGAAGCAGUCAGCUGGGAAGGGAAGUUGCACGUGAGAAGGCGAUUCAAUGCUCCUUUUAAUAAAAUUCAUUCAAAAUGACUUACGCACCCACAGAUCCUCCUCUUUCCGCUAAAUCCCAGGAUGGACCAGUUCCUAAAACCAAAUUCAACUUUCCAAGUCUCUAAGAAAGCGGCCACGUGGAGCACUGGCUCACAGAGGACACGCACCGAAUGCAACUUACCCAAAUCUUCCCGGACCCAGACACAUUCUCCAGGCUCCUGAAACAUCGGAGACCCCGGGUGAUUCUUAAGAAGGAAAAAAAUAAAUAAACGAGGAAAUGGAUUUGAAGAGGGAAGACCUGUGACAACACGGAAUCUCCCACCAAACACCAAUGGCCGGCACUCCCAGAUGUAUAGGAAGGUUUGAAAAAAACAAAACAAACAAACAAACAAAAAACACCUAGCAGCUUCCAGUCAUAAAUGAAAAACAAUCCCAGCACUAGUUCCAUGAAUAAAUCGAACAGUUUUAAUUCGGAAA